AUUGAACGCUGGCGGCAUGCCUUACACAUGCAAGUCGAACGGUAACAGGUCUUCGGAUGCUGACGAGUGGCGAACGGGUGAGUAAUACAUCGGAACGUGCCUAGUAGUGGGGGAUAACUACUCGAAAGAGUGGCUAAUACCGCAUGAGAUCUACGGAUGAAAGCAGGGGAUCGCAAGACCUUGUGCUACUAGCGCGGCCGAUGGCAGAUUAGGUAGUUGGUGGAUAAAAGCUUACCAAGCCGACGAUCUGUAGCUGGUCUGAGAGGACGAUCAGCCACACUGGGACUGAGACACGGCCCAGACUCCUACGGGAGGCAGCAGUGGGGAAUUUUGGACAAUGGGCGCAAGCCUGAUCCAGCAAUGCCGCGUGCAGGAUGAAGGCCUUCGGGUUGUAAACUGCUUUUGUACGGAACGAAAAGCCCCGGGUUAAUACCCUGGGGUCAUGACGGUACCGUAAGAAUAAGCACCGGCUAACUACGUGCCAGCAGCCGCAGUAA
rnacentral:rRNA from 1 species